GACGAACGCUGGCGGCGCGCCUAACACAUGCAAGUCGAACGAGCGAGAGAGAGCUUGCUUUCUCGAGCGAGUGGCGAACGGGUGAGUAACGCGUGAGGAACCUGCCUCAAAGAGGGGGACAACAGUUGGAAACGACUGCUAAUACCGCAUAAGCCCACGACCCGGCAUCGGGUAGAGGGAAAAGGAGCAAUCCGCUUUGAGAUGGCCUCGCGUCCGAUUAGCUAGUUGGUGAGGUAAUGGCCCACCAAGGCGACGAUCGGUAGCCGGACUGAGAGGUUGAACGGCCACAUUGGGACUGAGACACGGCCCAGACUCCUACGGGAGGCAGCAGUGGGGAAUAUUGCACAAUGGGGGAAACCCUGAUGCAGCGACGCCGCGUCGGA
rnacentral:rRNA from 1 species